rnacentral:lncRNA from 11 species
AAAAAUCCCAAUUGUCUGAGCGGAAGAAGUGGGAAGAAGAAGGGGAGAGGAUAUAUCCCAAAGAAAACGAGAGCGCAUUAACAUCUUAAUGAGUUUACAGUCUCAUUGACAUUCUUUGCAUGGAGGCCUCGGCCAAAGCGCCAAGAAAAAAAAGAAAGGGGAAAAAAAGUUUCCAGGGUUGAACUCCAUCCAGCGAUUGAAACGUUUUUUUUUUAAGAGCAGAAUAAAGGCAUGGCUUUGGGAAUUGCUUUUGGGGGAAAGUCUCCUCCUUUCGCACGAGGAUUUGGUCCCGGUCCAAACUCCACUCGUUUCUGAAGUCAUUGUGCAAGUUUGCACAUUUUGCAAACAACCAUCCAAAACUUCACUGCCAUCGAGGCCGGUUUGCGGAGGGGAAAAAAGAACGAUUUGCCAAGAGAAGAUGACCGAGAGCAAGGAAAUCAGUCAUUCAUCCGAAACUCGGGAUGUCUCAGAAGAGGAUCCUGCAGGUAAAUAUAUUGAUCUAUCGGGAAGAAAAAGUCCCUUGAUUUCAAUAUUUCUUCAUUUCGGACCUGAAUGGGUUUUGUUUUGCUUGUCGAAUUUUCCUCCUUUCUGAGCCUCCAAAUAAAUUGAGUUUCAAGUGAAAAAAGGAAGGGAGAGAAACCGGGACAUUUCAAAAGCAGCCGCAGCUGGGAAGGCAGAGGAUUAAUCCGAACGAAUUGCAGCAACAACAUGUAGGUUUUUCUUAUUGCUUGCAAAGCAGGAAUACUUCUUUUUCUUGGAAACGUCGUUCCCAGAGGAAAAAUUAUGGCCGGUGUCCAUGGCAAUCUUGCUUGCAGAUGUUGAGCUGCAGAAAAAGGCAUUUUCCGAAUCCACAACGGACGGAGGCCUUUGGUUCCAGGAAUCGGCAGCUGGAGAAGCUUUGUUUUCCUCGCCUUUCCAUUGAGAUGGAUCACGAAGCCAAAGGAGGAAAAAUUGGCCCCGGGAAAACUUUGCAGUUUGGAAAAAUAAACCAACCAGUGCAAAGAUGUCAAGAUAACUAACUGGCAGAUGUUUUUGGGAAAGUGGCCUGAUA